AGCGAACGCUGGCGGCAGGCCUAACACAUGCAAGUCGAACGAACUCUUCGGAGUUAGUGGCGGACGGGUGAGUAACACGUGGGAACGUGCCUUUUGGUUCGGAAUAACUCAGGUAACUUGUGCUAAUACCGAAUGUGCCCUUCGGGGGAAAGAUUUAUCGCCAUUAGAGCGGCCCGCGUCUGAUUAGCUAGUUGGUGAGGUAACGGCUCACCAAGGCGACGAUCAGUAGCUGGUCUGAGAGGAUGACCAGCCACACUGGGACUGAGACACGGCCCAGACUCCUACGGGAGGCAGCAGUGGGGAAUCUUGCGCAAUGGGCGAAAGCCUGACGCAGCCAUGCCGCGUGAAUGAUGAAGGUCUUAGGAUUGUAAAAUUCUUUCACCGGGGACGAUAAUGACGGUACCCGGAGAAGAAGCCCCGGCUAACUUCGUG
rnacentral:rRNA from 1 species